rnacentral:rRNA from 1 species
GAUGAACGCUGGCGGCGUGCCUAAUACAUGCAAGUCGAGCGAACAGACGAGGAGCUUGCUCCUCUGACGUUAGCGGCGGACGGGUGAGUAACACGUGGAUAACCUACCUAUAAGACUGGGAUAACUUCGGGAAACCGGAGCUAAUACCGGAUAAUAUAUUGAACCGCAUGGUUCAAUAGUGAAAGACGGUUUUGCUGUCACUUAUAGAUGGAUCCGCGCCGCAUUAGCUAGUUGGUAAGGUAACGGCUUACCAAGGCAACGAUGCGUAGCCGACCUGAGAGGGUGAUCGGCCACCCUGGAACUGAGACACGGUCCAGACUCCUACGGGAGGCAGCAGUAGGGAAUCUUCCGCAAUGGGCGAAAGCCUGACGGAGCAACGCCGCGUGAGUGAUGAAGGUCUUCGGAUCGUAAAACUCUGUUAUUAGGGAAGAACAAAUGUGUAAGUAACUAUGCACGUCUUGACGGUACCUAAUCAGAAGGCCACGGCUAACUACGUG